GCCGGUGUAGCUCAGUAGGUAGAGCAGCGCAUUCGUAAUGCGAAGGUCGGGGGUUCGACUCCUCUCACCGGCACCA
rnacentral:tRNA from 28 species